rnacentral:lncRNA from 1 species
UUCGUCUGUUUUCUGUUUCAUGGUGCUAUUUUCAGAAUGGCAUAUUGUCUUUUCGUGUGUAUGUUGUUACUUGUGGGCUGUUGUAAUAUUGUUUUAUACUUAAAGUCUCUAUUAUAUGUAAACCGUCACUUAUUUGUUAGGUUAUGCGUUGUCAAUUGUUAAUCAGGUACAUUAUUCUUCCCUGUUAAAAUGUUUGUAUACUUAUCUGUUGCCUAAAUGCAGUAUUAUUUUUUUCUGUUUACCUAUCUACAGUAAUCUGUUUGGUUUUUG